ensembl:lncRNA
CAAAGACUUUGUAACUAUCUUUCUAGGGUGAUUUAGGCAAGUGUUUGUUAAGAAAUGAGGGAGAUGACAAAGAUGACUUGCUGAGGUCCCUGGUAACUUUAGGAAAUAGUUGUUUGAUGGUUAAUCAAAUAGUAUCUUUGGCAUUUUAAUGAGUACAUUUUCAUUUUGCUUAUGAAGAAAUAAUCAUUGGAGAGUGGGGGAAUUUCUCAAGGUCCUCUGGGAAAAUAGAAGAUAACAUUUUGAAUCUUCUUGUUUCCCCAUGUUGAAUGCUUAGGGAUGUAUACUUUAUCAUAAAUGAGUCUUGUCAUGGCUGUGUUAUGUACUAUUGUUGUGAUUCUUCCUAAGCCAUAGGAAUCAAAGCCAACACCUGCAGCUUUUAUAGACCUGCAGCUUUUAUAUGAUUUGAGAGUUGUUGGCUGGGCUUAGAUUAGGACUGAGAACCUCUUUCCUAUAAAAAUGAAUUUGGUCUUCUGUUAUGCUUGUAGAAAAGGGAACACAUUAUCAGUAACAGACUUGAGUGAUAGAUUCCUUAUUUAUUUAUUUAUUUUUUGGCCAUACCUGAGCUAGGGAUCGAACCUGCACCAUAGCAGUGACCCUUGUCUGCAGUGACAACACCAGAUCCCUAACCAGCUGCACCACAGGAGAACUCCAAUAGAUUCUUUUUCCUUCUUUCUUUUUUGGCCCCUGGGCCGGCGAUCAGAUCCGAGCCAAAUCUGUCUUUUAACCCACUAUGCUGGGCCGGGGAUCAAACCUUCUUCGUCCUGGUGCUGCAGAGGUGCUGCCAAUCUUAUUAGUCUUUUUUUUUUUUGGUCUUUUAGGGCCACACCCAUGGCAUAUGGAGGUUCACAGGCUGGGGUCUAAUCGGAAUUCCAGCUGCCAGCCAGAGCCACAGCAACGCUGGAUCUGAGCCACAUCUGCCACCUACACCACAACUCAAGGCAAUGCUGGAUCCUUAACCCACUGAGUGAGGCCAAGGAUCGAACCUGCAACCUCAUGAUUACUAGUCAAAUUCGUUUCCAUUGCACCACCAUGGGAACUCCUCCUCCAACAGAGUCUUAAUGACUGAUUUAGGAGGGGCCAGGUUAAAAUUGCUUAGGUGAAGCUGCACAUGACAUCAACAUAUUUUUGGUUUGUAUGGCCUGCAGAAAUAGAAGCCCAGAAGAUGGGCAAAUGAACAUAAGGUUUUUUUGUCGAACAUGAACAUAAAAAUACUCAUUAAAUGCAGUAUUAAGUUGCCACUUUAAAUGCUUAGUUCAGGAAAUGCCAAAUUUAAGAUAACUCUCAACAUCAGUAACUCAUUCAUCUGACAUUUAUAGUCUACCUAAAGGUACCUCAUAAGGGAUCUCCUGUCUCUUAUCAGAAUUGUGGGGAGUUCCCUUCGUGGCUCAGCAGUUAACGAACCUAAGAUCCAUGAGGAUGUGGGUUCAAUCCUUGGCCUCGCUCAGUGGAUUAGGGAUUCAGUGUUGCCGUGAGCGGUGGUAUAUGUCUCCAGUGCGACCUUAAAAAACAAACAAAAAAAGAAUUGUGCUUUGAGAUCCUUGGGUCUUUGACUGGGAAGCUAAGCUGGGAGGGAGUAUUACCAUUGGUACCCUGAAUGAGGGGUUUAACUUUGUUUAUUUUAGUUGGGCUAUAAGAGCAUUUACUUGUUACUUCUCUGCUACUGAAAAUAUCCUCAAGCAUUUUUUAUUGGGCUGUCUUGAAUUGGCAACAAUUGUUACCUCUUCAGGGUAGAAGAGAGGGGAGCCAACUGUUGAAUACUUACCAUAUGCUGGAAAAUUUAUAUUUGUUCUUG